GAUGAACGCUGGCGGCGUGCCUAAUACAUGCAAGUCGAGCGAACAGACGAGGAGCUUGCUCCUCUGACGUUACCGGCGGACGGGUGAGUAACACGUGGAUACCUGACCUAUAGGACUGGGAUAACUUCGGGAAACCGGAGCUAAUACCGGACAAUAUAUUGAACCGCAUGGUUCAAUAGUGAAAGCCGGUUUUGCUGUCACUUAUAGAUGGAUCCAGGCCGCAUUAGCUAGUUGGUAAGGUAACGGCUUACCAAGGCAACGAUGCGUAGCCGACCUGAGAGGGUGAUCGGCCACACUGGAACUGAGACACGGUCCAGACUCCUACGGGAGGCAGCAGUAGGGAAUCUUCCGCAAUGGGCGAAAGCUUGACGGAGCAACGCCGCGUGAGUGAUGAAGGUCUUCGGAUCGUAAAACUCUGUUAUUAGGGAAGAACAAAUGUGUAAGUAACUAUGCACGUCUUGACGGUACCUAAUCAGAAAGCCACGGCUAACUACGUG
rnacentral:rRNA from 1 species